rnacentral:rRNA from 1 species
GUAGGGUGCAAGCGUUAAUCGGAAUUACUGGGCGUAAAGCGUGCGCAGGCGGUAAUGUAAGACAGUUGUGAAAUCCCCGGGCUCAACCUGGGAACUGCAUCUGUGACUGCAUUGCUGGAGUACGGCAGAGGGGGAUGGAAUUCCGCGUGUAGCAGUGAAAUGCGUAGAUAUGCGGAGGAACACCGAUGGCGAAGGCAAUCCCCUGGGCCUGUACUGACGCUCAUGCACGAAAGCGUGGGGAGCAAACAGGAUUAGAUACCCUGGUAGUCCACGCCCUAAACGAUGUCAACUGGUUGUUGGGUCUUCACUGACUCAGUAACGAAGCUAACGCGUGAAGUUGACCGCCUGGGAGUACGGCCGCAAGGUUG